GCUUAACACAUGCAAGUCGAGGGGCAUCAGGAAGAAAGCUUGCUUUCUUUGCUGGCGACCGGCGCACGGGUGAGUAACACGUAUCCAACCUGCCCUUUACUCGGGGAUAGCCUUUCGAAAGAAAGAUUAAUACCCGAUGGCAUAAUGAUUCCGCAUGGUUUCAUUAUUAAAGGAUUCCGGUAAAGGAUGGGGAUGCGUUCCAUUAGGUUGUUGGUGAGGUAACGGCUCACCAAGCCUUCGAUGGAUAGGGGUUCUGAGAGGAAGGUCCCCCACAUUGGAACUGAGACACGGUCCAAACUCCUACGGGAGGCAGCAGUGAGGAAUAUUGGUCAAUGGGCGCUAGCCUGAACCAGCCAAGUAGCGUGAAGGAUGAAGGCUCUAUGGGUCGUAAACUUCUUUUAUAUAAGAAUAAAGUGCAGUAUGUAUACUGUUUUGUAUGUAUUAUAUGAAUAAGGAUCGGCUAACUCCGUGCCAGCAGCCGCGGUAAUACGGAGGAUCCGAGCGUUAUCCGGAUUUAUUGGGUUUAAAGGGAGCGUAGGUGGACUGGUAAGUCAGUUGUGAAAGUUUGCGGCUCAACCGUAAAAUUGCAGUCGAUACUGUCAGUCUUGAGUACAGUAGAGGUGGGCGGAAUUCGUGGUGUAGCGGUGAAAUGCUUAGAUAUCACGAAGAACUCCGAUUGCGAAGGCAGCUCACUGGACUGCAACUGACACUGAUGCUCGAAAGUGUGGGUAUCAAAACAGGAUUAGAUACCCUGGUAGCCCACACAGUAAACGAUGAAUACUCGCUGUUUGCGAUAUACAGUAAGCGGCCAAGCGAAAGCAUUAAGUAUUCCACCUGGGGAGUACGCCGGCAACGGUGAAACUCAAAGGAAUUGACGGGGGCCCGCACAAGCGGAGGAACAUGUGGUUUAAUUCGAUGAUACGCGAGGAACCUUACCCGGGCUUAAAUUGCAGUGGAAUGAUGUGGAAACAUGUCAGUGAGCAAUCACCGCUGUGAAGGUGCUGCAUGGUUGUCGUCAGCUCGCGCCGUGAGGGGUCGGCUUAAGUGCCAUAACGAGCGCAACCCUUAUCUUUAGUUACUAACAGGUUAUGCUGAGGACUCUAGAGAGACUGCCGUCGUAAGAUGUGAGGAAGGUGGGGAUGACGUCAAAUCAGCACGGCCCUUACGUCCGGGGCUACACACGUGUUACAAUGGGGGGUACAGAAGGCAGCUAGCGGGUGACCGUAUGCUAAUCCCAAAAGCCUCUCUCAGUUCGGAUCGAAGUCUGCAACCCGACUUCGUGAAGCUGGAUUCGCUAGUAAUCGCGCAUCAGCCACGGCGCGGUGAAUACGUUCCCGGGCCUUGUACACACCGCCCGUCAAGCCAUGGGAGCCGGGGGUACCUGAAGUACGUAAACGCAAGGAUCGUCCUAGGGUAAAACUGGUGACUGGGGCUAA
rnacentral:rRNA from 1 species